AACGAACGCUGGCGGCAUGCCUAACACAUGCAAGUCGAACGAGACCUUCGGGUCUAGUGGCGCACGGGUGCGUAACGCGUGGGAACCUGCCCUUAGGUUCGGAAUAACUCCCCGAAAGGGGUGCUAAUACCGGAUAAUGUCUGCGGACCAAAGAUUUAUCGCCUUUGGAUGGGCCCGCGUUGGAUUAGCUAGUUGGUAGGGUAAAAGCCUACCAAGGCGACGAUCCAUAGCUGGUCUGAGAGGAUGAUCAGCCACACUGGGACUGAGACACGGCCCAGACUCCUACAGGAGGCAGCAGUGGGGAAUAUUGGACAAUGGGCGAAAGCCUGAUCCAGCAAUGCCGCGUGAGUGAUGAAGGCCUUAGGGUUGUAAAGCUCUUUUACCCGGGAUGAUAAUGACAGUACCGGGAGAAUAAGCUCCGGCUAACUCCGUG
rnacentral:rRNA from 1 species